CGUUUUCUUUUCGGAAAAAAAUUAUCUAAAUUCUCUAUUUUCGGCUAGAAAUAAGAAUAAAGUUUUAAUAGAAUUAAGAAAAAAGUUAAGCCAUAAAAAUUUAUCGAGCAGCUCACCCUUUUCCCCUUGUAUGCCGUCCCCCUCCCCACUAUUCUUUUUGAACCAACUCGAAUUUUCUACAACAAAACUACAACGAACAAAUCUACUACGAGGAUACACUGCAUAAUGCGAGAGAGCGAGUACAUAUGUACAUAAUACCCACUUCACCAACCGAAACUCGAGUGACGCGCUACACCAAAAGAAUGUAAGACGCUCCUCUUAACAUCCCGCAAUCAUAAUAUUGCUGGAACACGAUCACAAUACAAACAGGAACAGCCUUUCAACAUCCUUCUGUGACUUCGACUUCUGUGACUUCCACAACACUUGCACACUUUUGUACUACAUAAAAAAACUUAUAAAUAUAAAACAUUUUUA